CAGCGCAAGCGCAAAGGAUUGGUACAAGAUAUAACAGAAUUUUCAAACAUGGCGGACAUUAUCUGUUCACUUCAUCCGAGCCACGCGGGAACAGUAAACCAGUGGUUUUAAUUUAUAGACCACUCUAAGGACAACGAAAUUAUCUUCUAUGAGAGUUAUGUAACAAGUGCAAACUGAGGAUGGUUAUAGAUACGGCAAGUAUAUCGCAAGAAGUUUACUAGGCAGCUGUUUGACAUGGAAAAGAAAUUGACUGGCAGUGUGCAUCGGGACUCCUACACUGAUCCUUCCAGCUACCUGGAAUCAGGAGCUCUAGAGCUUACCUUCAUUGACCCUGAAGAAUCCCACCCUGAUGCGAAGAGUACACAAACUGAGAACCCCAAAGAAUCCCAGCCUGAUGUGGAGAACCAGUACAGUAAUGAUCACAAAGAAUCCUCCCUUCAUGACCCCACUCCAGCUGAGACGUUGUCUUCCUUUGCCGUGACCUACGAGAUCGUGGAGAACAGUUCCAAAAGAGGCCGGCCAAAGAUGAUAGACAGCCAGGGGUACCGCUACACCCUACAGAGAAGGCGAGGCUUAGUCACUGCCUGGCAGUGUUCCAUCUGCCCCAAGGUCAACCCAUGUAGGGCCACAGUUAGAUAGCGCGGUGACCAGUUCCAGUGCGUUCACUUUGGACGAUUUCAGGUCGCUAAAAAUGGCUCUUUUAGGAGCCACCACAUGUGCAAAAGUCAUGAUCAAUGUAAACGUACUUUAGUAAUUUAAAUAAGUAUGCAAUAAAGUUUGCUCUUUUUGGCCGCAGGGAAACUGAGUAAUACAACUUGUUCGAUUGAGUCACGGGAAAACUGGGUAUUACAAUGUCAAUUGAUCGAAAAUAUCAAAGACGAAAACUAAAACACUUCAACUGAACUUUUCUCAAUUUUACUUGUAUUGCAACGCCUUCAGUUUGCAUUGAAUCAACUUUACAUGUGUAAUGAAUUGAUUUCUAUUUGUAUCGAAACGACUUUGUAUCGAAAUGACUUUGUAUCAAAAUGACCGGACACCGUAAAUUUUCACAAAUACACCGCAUAAAGAAAAGAAAGGGACCUUUUACAUAACCAAAAGGGAUGGUUGUGUAAAAGAAUGAAAUUUGCAAAACAUAAAUGCCAGGAGGUUUUGCUGACAUAGCAAGCAUUACAGCCCACACAUAAAAACUUGUAAACCACACACUUAUGGAGCCUGUGGGGGAUAGAGUCUUUCACACCAAUCAUAUUAUCUAUUUUAAAAGAUGAAAAACCAACUUAAUAUCAAUGCUGUAACAAUAACACUUAGCAAAGUAGCAAACCCUUUUUUGUGUGAGAGCAGAAAAUGUUACUGAUCUGCAAAAACUUGAGAAGCUCACAAUAAAAAAAACCCUAAUGUGG